rnacentral:rRNA from 1 species
UCCUACGGGAGGCAGCAGUGGGGAAUAUUGCACAAUGGGCGCAAGCCUGAUGCAGCCAUGCCGCGUGUAUGAAGAAGGCCUUAGGGUUGUAAAGUACUUUCAGCGGGGAGGAAGGUGAUAAGGUUAAUACCCUUGUCAAUUGACGUUACCCGCAGAAGAAGCACCGGCUAACUCCGUGCCAGCAGCCGCGGUAAUACGGAGGGUGCAAGCGUUAAUCGGAAUUACUGGGCGUAAAGCGCACGCAGGCGGUCAAUKAAGUCAGAUGUGAAAGCCCCGAGCUUAACUUGGGAAUUGCAUCUGAAACUGGUUGGCUAGAGUCUUGUAGAGGGGGGUAGAAUUCCAUGUGUAGCGGUGAAAUGMARURGAGAUGUGGAGGAAUACCGGUGGCGAAGGCGGCCCC